rnacentral:misc_RNA from 1 species
UAGAAGAUAGGGAGAGAAUAGAAACAGAGACACAGAGAGAGAGAGAGAGCGAGCAGAAAUCGAAGAAAUGGCUAACAAGCUGAUCAGCGAAAUCGGACUGCCAAGGAUUCUCCUACACAACAUUCAUCAGUCUGGCAUAUUUCUUAUUAAGUCAAAGAUAAAUUAAGGUGGUUGAAUCUCCAAUAUCAUCGCCCAUGGCUUUCCCUUUUAUCAUAACAUCAUCUGGGAUUGUCACUGAGAUUCAUCUGGAAUUGAAUCUGUGAAACUAUCACAAGUAGAUAAUGAAGAGAACUAAUGGUGUAGACUAAAGAUAUUCAUCAAUUAAUAGGACGGAAUAAAUAUGUACACAGCGAGCUGAUUUUUAUCUGUUGACCCGACAAAAUGAUGGUGAUCCUAGCAGUCUGCACCACUGAUUAUUGCAACACAUUGCCAUGGUGACGUUAUUAAUUUUGAUGGGGAAAGGUUGCAGUUUAUUGGUCAGAUUUGAGGUUGGGAGAAGUGGUGGAAAUCCUGUUCUCACUCUGUCUCAGCAAAGGUUAUGUUUUCUUUCUUCAACUUAAAUGAUAAAAGUGAGAAACAUCUGAAGUAUCUUAGAAUAUAAAUUUCUGAAACUUUUUAUCUUUUAGCAACAUGGAGAUUAAGUGUAGGGGCCAUUGUCCAAUUUAAUGAUAAAAAUCUCAAGCUGCAAAGCCAAUUUCAAAGAAGGAAAUCUUGCAAAUAACCAUUUAGAUUGCAUUUGGUGCAGGGUUAGAAGAAUUGAGUAAAAAAUGCACAAGUAAAAUUAAGAGGUGAAGGAAUCUAGUAAAAGAUUAGGGCAGUAAAAUUUAAGCAUGUUUGGUACAGAAUAAAACAAUGAUGUGAUGACAUAUAUUACAAUACUAUUUAUUUAUAAUGGUUGAAACUCAUGUAAAAAAAUUAAUUCAAGGAUGAGUGGAUUCUAAUAGCAAUGAAUAGAGAUGAAAUAAGAAAAAGAAUGCUCUCUUCUGACCCCCUUCAAUGGGUUAACAUUUAACCCUCUCGACCAAAUGAAUUGUUUAAGGGGUUGAACCGGUGUAACAAACAUAGCAAUGUAAAGUUUCUACAGGUAAUAGAACACCUCCCAAUUGCUACUCCUAAUUCUGCUUAGUGAUGACCUUUCAUCUUUGUAUGGUUUUCUGAUUCUAAACAUAUUUUAUUCUGCAAAUAUAAUAAGUGGCUGCUAUCCUGAUGUUCUGUACUCUGACCAAGCCAUUGCAUGGAAUAAACUUGUUUGCAAUUUCCCCCCUCUCUUUCUAUCUGAUCUUCCGCUUUUUCCACCCCAGAAUCCUACAUAGUGAGAAAAAUGAAAUGUUCUUAAAAGGAACUUGGCAUGGACAAGUUUACCAACCAAUUAAUUGUUUUGGUGGCAUAGAAUAGAACUUUGAAAGUCUAAGGAUUAGAAUAUCUGGAUGAUGGUAAAUUACACAUUGGCUUGUUAUGUGCAAUUGAGAAGGUUUCAGUUUCCACAUUUUUUUAAAAUUCUGCUGGAUCAUGAAAAAGUUUACCAUUGUAUAUCUUGUUCGAUAUUUCUCAAACUACCAUUCCUGAAAAUUUAGAUUGGAAUUGCCUAACAUGUUCCAGAAGUAAAAUAUUUGAAUAGACAAAUAUGGAACAGAAUAAUGGCUAUAUCCCUUUGGACCAAUUUUUAUGACAAUUUGUUGCACCAUUUGGAGUCAUGUUAUAAUGUUAAACUGUGUUAGAAGCUGCAAGUGCAGAAAUUGUAUUGUCUACUUUAUUUUUGACAAAUGAAGGGAAUACCUACUACUUUGGUGUAUGAUCAGUUUAGUGAUAAUAUUGGAUCCUUAGUGCUUAUGUCAAGGAAUUUAAAGGAAGUGAUGUUUUACCUGUAACAAAGUGAAUGAUGGAAAUAGACACCAAUGAUUUUUCGCUCUGUUUUGUUUCAACAGAAGGCUAUUAAUAAAUGGUUGUAGUGGUGUUAUAUCUAGAUCAAUCAUACCAAGAGAUACAAAUAAGAAUAUCACAUUUAUUUAGGCUAAAAGUGUUGAAUAUAUUGGAGAACACACUAAUCACAUUUGGUGCGAAAGUUUCUUGUUUGGGCACUUUAGAAAAAGUUUUGGGAUGCUGCAUCAAGCAAGCCAAGAAGCCAAGAAGCAAUUGGAUGCAGCUACUUUUGAUUAUAGAAAUGCUGAAGCUAUGUCCAUUUCUCUUACUUUUUUCUUGUAGACUAUGCUUGUAUGUCAAUGAUAAUGAUGACAAAGGAAACAUAUGAUUAUGCUAAGAUUUAUUUAUUCUAUGCUGGAAAGUGAGAUUAGGAUUAGCCAAUCCUCAUUCACUUGCAAAAGGAAAAGAUAUAAUUACAACUUUUUGUAUCCUUGGAGUUGGUGGGUUAUAUAGUAGAAGUUAGUGCACUGUUGUAAGCUAGGAUUCUCGUUAAUCCUGGCAAUGAUAGAGGGAAAUUCUUAUUUCUUUUUUGUCCCCUUUUCUGCUAAGGCUGAAGCUAUGUCCAUUUCUCAUACUUUUUUCUUGUAACUAUGCAUGUUUGUCAAUGAC